CUGCGGGAAGGUGCUGAGGCUCUCGCACACAGGCUCUGCUCAGUCCUUCUCUGCGUAAUCAGAUACACAGUGGGGCCAGCCCUCUGCUGGCCUUACUGCCCUCCCAGCGCUCCAGAGCCACGGAUAGCACCAAGUGGAGGAAAAAAGAAGUGCUGGCUCUGACGUGUUCGGGUGUCUGUAUACAAAUUCAAACGGACGGUAAGAGGCCUCCAGCUGGGUAACUGUUAACAUUCAGAUCACUUACUUCUGACUUAUGUCUACUCAAGUAUCUUCUCUGUGUUCUCUGUCAUGAAGUAUGUAACCUCAGCCUCUUCUCAGAUCACGGAUCAGGAUACUGCUUUCAUCUGUACAGGUCUAGUAAUUAUUCUGUUCAUAUAAAAGAAUGAAAGUAGUAAUGCAUGUGUCUGUCUAAAUGCACAGGUGGAGAUGCUCAAAAACACAUUCCUAAGAAAAGGGUAACAUGCUCAAGCCCGUGCUAAAAAAAUGAAACAUAUGCAGUUUAAGCGAAUCCUAAAACAUAGGUAUCUUAAGGGGGAGGAGGUUGGUAGAUAACCAUUUAGUCAGGCUAUAAUGUUUCUAGACCACUUAUUUUUAUAGUGUUUGACUAGUCCAUUGGAAACCACAAUUUUAGCCAGUUCUAUUCAGUCAUCAUGUUAUAAAAUGUCUUCAUAAUGAAAUUAUGCAGGACUAGUAAAGAGAAAGUUUUGAAAUUCAUCUCUUGUAACUAGAUGCUAGAUAUGUCAGAAUUUCAGGGGAUUUUAGCAUAAUUUUGUAAACAUAUUCUCAAAGCAAAAGGGUACAUUUUAUAAAUACAAUAUUUAAUAUUUCUGUUGCAGAAAUCUAUAGGCCACAAGUUAAAUGUAAUUUAAAAAGAGGGUAUAUUCAAAAUCCUGUCAUGAAUUCUUUUCAUACUGUUUUUACUUUUUAAGGAAUGUUUUUGUAUUGUUUCUGAGCUCUUAUUUUCAGUGAAGACUAAGGGCUCGACAUUUCCAUGUUUCCUUAUGGUAACAGGAAAUCCUAUUACCUGCUUGCUAGUCAAAGCUGUCACCUAAGUGAUACUACAGAUUUACCCUACUUCCCUGAUUUCUUGAAUCCAUAGUUCACAUAAAAGCCAGAGUUUCCAACGUAAACAAACCAAAAUUUUUUUUCUUAUCAUAGAGAAAGGCUGAGGCAGUUUUUUCCCACAUGAUUGUAUUCUCACUUGUAGACGAAAAAUAAUUUGAAUAUCUUCUAUUAGAUAAACUGCUAUAGAGAAAUACUUAAUAAUUAAGGGCACAAUUUUUACCUAUGUUUAGGAUGAAUUCUACAAAGCUAGGCUUUGCAAGGAAUACCUUGUCUUCGCAAGGUUGUUUUCCCUGUGGAUCUCAUAAGAUCACAGUCUCUGUAGCUUCACUCAGAACCUUUUUAUGGGCAAAAGGGAACUCACUAUAUAUUUGGAACCAAAAAUUGACUUUCAGCCCAGUUAAUGUUUGAAGAGUCUAACAGUCCAAAUUACCUACUAGAGAAAUAUCUCUCUUUUAUGUACAGUUAAAACCCUCCUAGUAUCUAUUGCUUUUCUUUUGUGUUAUGAUCACCUGUAAGAUGUUCCUCUGGAUCCUGAGGUUGACAUCUUGGUCCUCUGUAAGGAGAAUACAGGAGGCACUUACAAGAAGUUACCGGCAUCCUGAGUUUUUCCUCAGGAUGAUGUUCCGUCUUUGUCUGGAGGAGCAUGAUGUUGAUGCUUUUUUCCUCCUCUGUUCUGUAGAAUGCUUGUGUUUAUUUUUAUAUGUUUUCUUAACACAAUCUCCUUCCUUCUCAUUGGCUCCCAGCUCAAAUCUGAGAGUUGCACAACAGCCUCACUCAGUCUCGACUGAUAGAAAGGGCGACUGUUUCUUUCUCAGUGACUGCCUUGGUUUGUCAGACCUCUUCUGUAUAUGGUUUCCACAAAGUUUAAGACAAAAUAGGUCAGGCAGUAGUUGCCUGACCACUAGAAAACUUGACUGCUAGACAACUGUUAAGGCAAGCUAAAGCUAGCUCAGGCCAAGACAAGCCAAAACAAAUUUUAAGACCAAUAAAAACACUGGGGUGUUCUGCUAAUUAUGACAAAAACAAGAGUCACAUUUACCGGGUUACUUUUGUUUCCACAUCUUGCAGAUCUUUGAAACUUCACAUUUUUUGUGGUUCUUUAGUUUUCCCUGACAUUGAUCUCCCAGCAGACUUUAGGAAUAUAGAACAUCCUCACUAUGGUCUAGCUUUCAAAGAUCUCAAAUGUACAAAGGGCUGUACGUAUUAAGCUUCUACUACUGCGCCAAAAUUUAAAUUGGUUUUGUAAACAAGUAUUUUAAUUAGUUAGCCUGUACCCUUAGUUGUGUUAAUACUGUAUGUAUAAUGUGAUGUUUUACAAUAAAGCUAUUAUCAGGUGGAUUUUUAGUGGACCAGAAAUUCCAGACGUCAUGGAAUUCAUCUGAUCGAAUGCAAGUGAGUAAACAUGGACUUACCGAGUAAGUACCUCAGAAAAACCACCUUUUCCGGUAUCCUUCUUAUGUACUUAAACUUUUUUGGAAAGUAUAUGAGGUUUAACAAUGAUAAACUGAAAUUUUGCUCAUAGGGAGGGCUUUAUCUUAAAAAUUAACGUGCUUGCUAUAUAGAAAUCUAUAUCUGAGCUCAUCUGCUACAUUUGCUUAAGACUCAGUAGAAGUAUUGAAUGUUCUGCUCAUCUCAUCCUAAAAUCAACAUCAGAUGAAUCACGCUGUAAGAAUGCCUGUUCUUCUCAGUUAAAGGAAGCAUAAUGUGACCAGCUGAUAUGUAUACGUGUACAUGUUAAAUGUAAUGUCUAAAAUUAGCUAACAUGAGAUGUACAAGAUGUGUAAAAUUUCAACUUAUUUACAGCCUAAAUUGAACAGAAGUAUAAAUUAUGAGAUGAACCUAAGAGGAAUUUGCUCCUUCGGAAAACUAUCUCUAUUUUUCUUCUUAUUAAAGUUUUUUCGGUGUCCAUGAUUUAACCAAUCCCUUGUGUAUUCUAUUUUGUAUAGUUCCAUCUCUUCAGCAUUUCAGUAUUCUUCAGUAUCUAGAACGACAGUUCAUCAUGUCUCAUCUUUUGUUUGACUGUUUAUUUAUUAUACAAGGUCUAAAAAAUCUCUCUUUUGCAUCAAAAUCCUUGUAGCGUAAUCAUGUGAGAAGUUCAAACUUGACUUUUAGAAAAAGGUUUCACUGAAGUGGGCCCAAAAUUAUAGAGUCUAUGGAGCAAGAAACAUACCUGAUUUUAUAUUUGCCAAAUACAAUGCAAAUUUACAUUAGUGAACACACUACUGUAUUCUUCAUAUCUAACUUUUAGGUGAUUAUUAACCAAACAAUAUUGCAUUCAGAGGUUAAACAAAUGUUUUUCACAGGGAAAACAGUAGGUGCUCACAAGAUCUGAUUCCUAGUUUAUGGUCACUGUGAGCACUGCCAGCUCAUGAAACUUGAAUUAUUAUCAGCCAAAGCAUUAUAAUUUAUGGGCUAUUGAAUAUACUUUUGUUUCUUUUUAACAACUAAAAAACCUCCAAUAUUAAUGUGUUAACCAUAAAUUUUACAGUUAGCUGCAGAUUCAGAAAAGAAACAGGCUAGUAAUUAGAAUGACUUUCUCUUUACUUUGACAAGAAACUUAUUAGAUCACCGUGCUCUAAAAAAAAUCAACAAAUUCAGCCUCUGUUGAACCUGACAGACAUACUUGACUCAUUGUUGAUCUCUGCUGUGAUGACAGUUUCAAGCAUUCAAAACAAAACUGCUCCCUACAGAUGCCACUGUUACCAAAAUUGGGAGAAGAAUUUUAAAUCAAUGUUAUUAUGUGGGGAUAAUGCGACUUCGUUAGAAAACAUCCGAAAUCUCUAUUGCUCAUGAUUAUGAAAUAAUCAUAUUGUGCAUGGCAACAACUGCACUGCUAGCAAAAGUCGGUGCAUCUGAGAUGCUGUCAUUCAAAUCAGCUAUAAUUCUUUCAGUCAUCUUGUUCCCAUGGCUUUUAAUACUUUAUUUAAAAGUCGCAGACAUAUUGUAAGUGUUCUGUGAGUCCUUGAAACUUAAUACAUAGUGCAUCGUAAAAAGAUACUGCUGUAUCCACUGCUGCAUAAAAAUUUAUAAUUCAAAUUUGUUUUUUGAGACCUGAGCCUUUUUCAACCUAAUGCAGGCUAUAUAAAGGGGAUGUGUCAUCUGUUAUUACUAGUUCUUCUGCACUGCUCUCUGGCUUCAAUCUAUUCAUGUUAUCUUUUGCUGGCUAAGAGUGUAUUUAGGUUUAACACCCAGUCGCUCUUUUUUAACACGAUGACUUUUCAGAGCAAUCUUAUAUUUUGUCCAGAGUUUUAAAGGUUAAUUAAGCAGCAUGAUUUUCCCUCUGUGCUGGUGAAUAUCAAUAUAGCUAGAACAGAAAUUUUAUAUCUUGUUAAUUUAGUUAGUCUCUGUUUAUGAUUUUUAAUAUGUGUGAAAUUUCUUAAAUUUAUUCAAAAGUGCAAUGGUAUUAAUUGCUUUACAGGUAUGGGCAACAUAUAGAAACAUUAGAUAAGGUUUUCAUAAUUUAACAGGAUUCUGGAGUGAUAGUGGACAGGGUUUUUUCUUUUCAGUUUUUGCACUUAAGUUCAAAUGGUUCCAAAUUUCCUAGUAACCCACACUACUACAAUUUUUUAAUGAUAACAGGGUAAUCAUCUCAUUGUGAAUGACUUUCUGUAUUUAACACUUUGAAUCAGGAGUGCAUUAUUCUCUUCUUUCCCCCCCCAGCAAUCUAUGACCUUUUGCUUUUUAAAAUAAAUAUAUGAGAAUCUAAUGGAGUGUUGAUAUUAUUAUAUCCAGCUAGGAGCCUGAGCUUAGAAAACACCAAAAAUAUUUUUUUAGAGGUUUAGCAGUGUUGAUUUAGAAAAUGAUUUUUAAUGACUCUUCUUUAUCCACAGUGUUUCUGUACCUCAGUCAUGUUUCUGGUCUGAAUCAUUCUCGCGUAUUUUCAAGCUGAGUGCACUGUGUGUUGUGUUUCCUGUAUUUGUACUGACGUAUUUGCCUGCUCUAAGGGGAAAGAAAAAAGAAAGCAAGACAAAUGGAAACAUCAUUUCAUCUGAACACAGAACAAAACAAAUGAUUUCUUUUGUGAAAAUCACCAUAUACAACUGGUUAAAGAUAAUAAUGGCUAGAGAAGAGUUUUGUAAAAAAAAAUGGCAGUAUAUGCUUGAAACAGCCAAAGUUGUUGCCAGUUUUUAGUCUUGGUGGGAGAUAUGCACAGGUUUGAGGACUCUUAAGCCUGUCUAAGCAUUGAUAUGACAGAAUCUUCCUAAAGAGAGAUCUGUUGGAUAAUGUGUUGGGUAACAGUGGUAAAGUGUGGAACCCAAGAGCGUUAUGCCCAGGGAGAAGGCUGGAACUGAAGUUUACAUUGUAUAAUUUGUUCGUUUAGAUUUUUGAAUUAUACACCGUGUAAGUACUGUGCAUGGUCAGGAAUGGGACCUGCUCAAAAAUAUAAACCAGAAAUAAAUAAUGUUGGACUAAGGUACAGGGUGUUCUAUUUCAUGUUUCUUUUUCAUUCUUUUUAAGUAAUUUUGAAACAAGAUUGUGUAUUAAAAUAAUUCUUGUUGAAUUGAUUGAAUUGAAAUGAUGUUGAAUCAUCGUGGUCAAUAUGCUGCCCUUUGCAUCCUUUUAGACUGACAUGGAUUGCUAAUGCUGUAGAACCAAAUUUGGAGCCUGCUGGGCAGACCUUACCUGUCAUCUUAUGUUUUCUUUGGUUUUGUUUAUGCUUUCUUCAUAUCUGUGUGUGCCCUGUGGUUCUAGAUCUCCAGUGUUAUUGCAAGAAUUCCUGCCAUUUAAAUUUUCCUGUAACAAGCUUGUCAAAGAAGUGCAACUGAAGAAAGCAGUUUCCUGAAGAAAGUAUCAGUACCUCAUUUUUAAGGACUAUUGGCUAAUGCUGAGGAAAGAAGUGUAAGUGUUUGACUUGCACAUUUUUUGGAAAAAGACUACUCACUGGAAAAGCAUCGUCAUCUGUGGUGUCUAUGGGAACGAAGAAGUUAAGCAGUACAGAAAGGUGAAAGCCAGUCCUUCAGUGACCUGUGGAGGAAUAGACCUCUAUAUGCUCUUACAGCCCUCAAUGAAACAAAAAGCAAUAAAUUUCUGCUGAUAAGUUCAUUGCAGCAACCAAUAUAUAGUUCUUAUUAUUACUUAUCUCAGAAUAGCUGUACUGUAUGUGUUCAAUAUGAUGCAUUCCCCAGGAGCAAGGUGGUGGUACUCUACUUUGUGUGGUCUCAAGGUGAAACAUAUUUAGACCAAUUGAUAUUCAUCCGUAGUCACCUCAGAAUGCCAGCAAAACUGUCACUAGAAAGAAAGAAAAGGUAGCUCUUCCAGCCAGAUACAAAUGUAAAAAUCUUCUUAUUUUAACUGGUAAUUGAUCUUUUAAAGCAAGGUUUGAAUGAUCAAAUGGCAAAAAGGACAAAAUUCUCUCCAGAUUCUGAAACUGGGACAUAGGAAGAAUUCACUCAUUCAGCUUCAGUUGCAAAUGUCAUCUUGAUUCAGUUUUCUGCUUGCUUCUGACAAAUCCCACAUUGUCACUACCAGUUUCUGGAUAUCCCAGUGAGUUCUACUGAAAGUGGAACAUCUUUUUAAAUGCCAGAUGCUAUAAUGAUGUCAGUUAUGCCGCUAGAUGUUUAUACUCUGGCUCAUGUCACUGAGCAUAGCUCAGUAAAGACAGAGGCCAGAUUUUGAUCACAAGGUUCAUUUUAGAAAUGAGUAUUUGGAAAGAUUUGGUAGCUGUGAGAAAACUGGGAAGGGCCUGCUGUAGUUGAACAGUUCACUGCUUAUAAAAGUGUUGACCUGUGUGUGUGUCUAGAGAAGAAAAAAUCCUCCGAAUUUCUCAACAGUUUUUAUUUAAAAUGUAACUUCAUGUUAUAAUCAAACUGUUGUUAUGCAUUUGUUUAUAUUAGGAGUUUCCUCAAAGACUUAUGAAGUAUGUAAAACUAACAUGUUGCUACUGAAAAUUCUGAUAAUACAUAUUAGCACUGUAGGGAUGAAUGUUACAUAUACUGCAGGGGAAGAGGAGGCAUUUCCUACCAGCAGCAAAGCAGAGGCAUGAGAGGUAGGAAAGAGUAGUUUUCUAGUGCCUAAGUCUUGCUUAGUCACUAUCUAGGAGAAUGAUUUCAGGCAGAUCAUUUUAAAAGCUCUAGGGGAAAAAAAAAAGAAUUCAAACACAUCUAGUAAGAUACAGAUAUCAACAUGUGCCCUGUUUGGGGAGGAGAAUUGUCAAUAGAAAGGUAAAACAGUGUGAAGCUGGGAAACACAAGGAUGCUGCCUGAAGACACUAAAGAACUGGGCUGUCCCAGUAAGAUAUGAGUCAUAUCUCUUGUUUUGUAAAUUGCUAAGACUGAUGUGCUCACUUGUUAGUUAAAAAGUUGGCAUAAAGCAAUCGGUAAAUAGAGGUUCGAAUAAAAAUCUUUUGGUAUAGACA